rnacentral:rRNA from 1 species
AUUGAACGCUGGCGGCAUGCCUUACACAUGCAAGUCGAACGGUAACAGGUCUUCGGAUGCUGACGAGUGGCGAACGGGUGAGUAAUACAUCGGAACGUGCCCAGACGUGGGGGAUAACGAGGCGAAAGCUUUGCUAAUACCGCAUACGAUCUAAGGAUGAAAGCAGGGGACCGCAAGGCCUUGCGCGUUUGGAGCGGCCGAUGGCAGAUUAGGUAGUUGGUGGGAUAAAAGCUUACCAAGCCGACGAUCUUUAGCUGGUCUGAGAGGACGACCAGCCACACUGGGACUGAGACACGGCCCAGACUCCUACGGGAGGCAGCAGUGGGGAAUUUUGGACAAUGGGCGAAAGCCUGAUCCAGCAAUGCCGCGUGCAGGAUGAAGGCCUUCGGGUUGUAAACUGCUUUUGUACGGAACGAAAAGGCUCUGGCUAAUACCUGGGGCACAUGACGGUACCGUAAGAAUAAGCACCGGCUAACUACGUG